ensembl:lncRNA
CGCAGGCUGGAGGCUGGCCUCCUCCAUUCAGAGCGCACAGGUCGGUGUCAGCUCUGAUUAUCAUAAAACCCAGCCGGCCUCAAAUUAAGGCACGAGGGGCUCCCGGUCCCUCUUUCACUGCAGACUGACGAGCAGCUCACAGGUCUCCGCAUCACCAUCCUCCUCCUCCUCCUCCCUCCUCUCGCUUCUCUCGCUGCCCGCAGCCGCAGCUCCUCACACUCCUGUUUGACCCGCUUUAUCCGGAAAAUGACGGCAUCGUCAGACCUAAAGUUCGUGUUAAGUCACAAUGAAGACAAAAAGCCACCGGACAGAAUGAAGAGCAACAGUCAGCCUGCAGAUUGAUGGCGUUGUGGAAAAAAUCCCUGAUUGGCUGCGUUUGACUCAAAAACUGGAACAACUGAAGCAUUUUGUGUGGAUUUUCUGCUGUGCAUUUAAACCUCUGCUACAAAGACUUUGUUAUGUAGAGGUUUACAAUCCAACAUUCAACAACGGUGUCACUGAAUUGUAAUAUUAGAUAUUAAUAUAUAUAUUUCCACCAGUUGUGCCUUGAGAUGUGUCAAUAAAUAUAUUAAAAUAUGUCACAAUUUAAGUAAA